rnacentral:rRNA from 1 species
AGUGAACGCUGGCGGUAGGCCUAACACAUGCAAGUCGAACGGCAGCACAGUAAGAGCUUGCUCUUACGGGUGGCGAGUGGCGGACGGGUGAGGAAUACAUCGGAAUCUACUUUUUCGUGGGGGAUAACGUAGGGAAACUUACGCUAAUACCGCAUACGACCUACGGGUGAAAGCAGGGGAUCUUCGGACCUUGCGCGAUUGAAUGAGCCGAUGUCGGAUUAGCUAGUUGGCGGGGUAAAGGCCCACCAAGGCGACGAUCCGUAGCUGGUCUGAGAGGAUGAUCAGCCACACUGGAACUGAGACACGGUCCAGACUCAUACGGGAGGCAGCAGUGGGGAAUAUUGGCCAAUGGGCGCAAGCCUGAUCCAGCCAUACCGCGUGGGUGAAGAAGGCCUUCGGGUUGUAAAGCCCUUUUGUUGGGAAAGAAAAGCAGCAGGUUAAUACCCCGCUGUUCUGGCGGUACCCAAAGAAUAAGCACCGGCUAACUUCGUG